rnacentral:rRNA from 1 species
CCUACGGGAGGCUGCAGUGAGGAAUAUUGGUCAAUGGACGAGAGUCUGAACCAGCCAAGUAGCGUGAAGGAUGACUGCCCUAUGGGUUGUAAACUUCUUUUAUAUGGGAAUAAAAUGUUCCACGUGUGGGAUUUUGUAUGUACCAUAUGAAUAAGGAUCGACUAACUCCGUGCCAGCAGCCGCGGUAAUACGGAGGAUUCGAGCGUUAUCCGGAUUUAUUGGGUUUAAAGGGAGCGUAGGUGGAUUGUUAAGUCAGUUGUGAAAGUUUGCGGCUCAACCGUAAAAUUGCAGUUGAAACUGGCAGUCUUGAGUACAGUAGAGGUGAGCGGAAUUCGUGGUGUAGCGGUGAAAUGCUUAGAUAUCACGAAGAACUCCGAUUGCGAAGGCAGUUCACUGGACUGCAACUGACACUGAGGCUCGAAAGUGUGGGUAUCAAACAGGAUUAGAUACCCGAGUAGUC